rnacentral:rRNA from 1 species
UACGUAGGGGGCAAGCGUUGUCCGGAUUUAUUGGGCGUAAAGAGCGUGUAGGCGGCCAUGCAGGUCCGCUGUGAAAACUGGAGGCUUAACCUCCAGACGUCGGUGGAAACCGCAUGGCUAGAGUCCGGAAGAGGAGAGUGGAAUUCCCGGUGUAGCGGUGGAAUGCGCAGAUAUCGGGAAGAACACCCGUGGCGAAGGCGGCUCUCUGGGACGGUACUGACGCUGAGACGCGAAAGCGUGGGGAGCGAACAGG